UACCUGCAAGUCGAGCGGAUGAAGGUAGCUUGCUACCUGAUUCAGCGGCGGACGGGUGAGUAAUGCCUAGGAAUCUGCCUGGUAGUGGGGGACAACGUUUCGAAAGGAACGCUAAUACCGCAUACGUCCUACGGGAGAAAGCAGGGGACCUUCGGGCCUUGCGCUAUCAGAUGAGCCUAGGUCGGAUUAGCUAGUUGGUGAGGUAACGGCUCACCAAGGCGACGAUCCGUAACUGGUCUGAGAGGAUGAUCAGUCACACUGGAACUGAGACACGGUCCAGACUCCUACGGGAGGCAGCAGUGGGGAAUAUUGGACAAUGGGCGAAAGCCUGAUCCAGCCAUGCCGCGUGUGUGAAGAAGGUCUUCGGAUUGUAAAGCACUUUAAGUUGGGAGGAAGGGUUGUAGAUUAAUACUCUGCAAUUUUGACGUUACCGACAGAAUAAGCACCGGCUAACUCUGUGCCAGCAGCCGCGGUAAUACAGAGGGUGCAAGCGUUAAUCGGAAUUACUGGGCGUAAAGCGCGCGUAGGUGGUUUGUUAAGUUGGAUGUGAAAGCCCCGGGCUCAACCUGGGAACUGCAUCCAAAACUGGCAAGCUAGAGUACGGUAGAGGGUGGUGGAAUUUCCUGUGUAGCGGUGAAAUGCGUAGAUAUAGGAAGGAACACCAGUGGCGAAGGCGACCACCUGGACUGAUACUGACACUGAGGUGCGAAAGCGUGGGGAGCAAACAGGAUUAGAUACCCUGGUAGUCCACGCCGUAAACGAUGUCAACUAGCCGUUGGAUUCCUUGAGGAUUUAGUGGCGCAGCUAACGCAUUAAGUUGACCGCCUGGGGAGUACGGCCGCAAGGUUAAAACUCAAAUGAAUUGACGGGGGCCCGCACAAGCGGUGGAGC
rnacentral:rRNA from 1 species